CCCCUUCCCCCGUCCUGCAAGACUUGGCUCUUAGUCAGGAAGGUCCACCUCGCGCCCCCUCCCCGUGUCCCAUCAUCUGCUGAGCAAAAGCCACAGGCUCUUCUCCACUGUAUCCCCUCCUCUGCCCCUCUACCCAAACUCAAGGGGGCGUGCGCGCGUGUGCAUGCACCCACAGAGCUGCUGGGAGGAACUGCAAGAAAAAGGGGAUCGUGCUCUCCAUGGUCCUUAAGUGAAUCGUUGAGCAUCAGGACCAUUGAAGGAGAAAAAAAGAUGAAAAGACAAAUUUCACCCACCAGUAAAAAUGACAGGGUUUUGCCGUUGGGUCCGUUCACUCCUGCUUCCCCAAGGGGGCAGGAGACGGGGAGCCGUGAAGUGGGACCACGGCGGCGGGGAAAACACUGGCCGAGGAACUCUAGGGCCCCGGUGUGGGCGAGCCCCGCGUGGCGAAACCACACACCCCCCCCGGUGGUUUCCAAUUCCCAAGAUACACCUGCUGUUUUCCUGGAGCUGCUUCCCAAGGAAGUCAGCGGCACUGAAAACCAGCUUGGAGGUGGCAGCGUUUCACAGGGCUUCAAUGAUCGAUCGGCUGAAUGGCUUAAAUCAAAUCCAAACAAGAGGGACCUCCCCGAUAGGCACCUAUGCAACUUCCUGUGGCUCUUCUCGGCAGAUGGGCACUUCCCUCCUCCAUGUACUAUGGAAAUAACUUCUCUUGUGUUAUAUACAGUGCAUCUUUUUUUUUCCCAGUAAAUGUGGCUUAAUAUUUUAAUUCUUAGAACGUGUGUCUGUUCUACGUGAUGCAACUUAAUUCUGUUCUGUUUGUGAAAUGAGUAGCACAGGCCCACCUCCUUUCCCCCACUCACGUCAAAGACCAAGGAGCUGUUUGUUUGAAUCAAGCAGUUCUCUCCAUCCAUGGUAAUACUUGCUAAAUGCACUGAUUUCUUAAGUAAGUAUGUGGAUCUUUUCCCCCUCUCCUCCAAGUCUGUAUAUCAUAUAAGACUGAAUCUACUUAAUAAACACUGUAUAACAAACA